CUUUAGAAAUCAACUCCCUUUUGGGGUUAAAACGGGGGAUGGUAGGUUUACUCACUCAUCACGAAAUCUUCGAAACUAUAACACCUACAAACUUGAAAUUUGGCAGAUAGGCUCCUUAUAGGGCGUAGACAUUCGCUAAGAACGGGUUUUACAAAACUCGACCCCUAAGGGGGUAAAACGGGGUUUGGAAGUUUGUAUGAAAGUCCUAUGUUUUUGAAGUAAGAGUCUUGAAAUUUAAAAUAUAUGCUCUAUAGAUGGUGAGAAGGUGUCCAAAUAAUGUAUAUUUAGAAAUCAACUCCCUUUUGGGGUUAAAACGGGGGAUGGUAGGUUGACUCACUCAUCAUGAAAUCUCUGAAACUAUAACAGCUACAAACUUGAAAUUUUGCAGAUAGGUUCCUUAUAGGGCG
rnacentral:misc_RNA from 1 species